GGCAAAUAAGCCCUAAAGAGAACCGCGAUGGCGUUUCAGCCAGCAAGCCCUCUCUAGAAAAAGUCAAAGCCAAACCCAAACCCUUGGCGACUGCGAACUCUUCCCUUGUACCCAUCCUUCUUAUUUCUCUCUCCACUCUAAUUCCUAAAUCCUAUUUCACCUUAUUUAGGGUUUUAUCUGUAAGAUCUGAAACUCAAUUUUAUUCCGUCAUGGCCACCGUUGCUCCCUCCUCUGAGAGUAUCCUUUCUCAAUUUCCUCAUCGAGGUGUAAUUUGAUUUCUGGGUUUUCGUUUUAUGUUUUGAUCUGCUUUUUUGGAACUUGAAAUUCUGUUUAUGUUCUUGUUCUUGUGUUUGUAUGGUUUAUAUUCGUGGUCGAGAUCUGUCUCCUGUUUAAUCAGGGUUUAUGUUUAAUAUGUACCUACUUACAAGAUUAUCAUCUAUUUGAGGUGGGUUUUGAUGUGUGCAAUUCUCUUGUUUGUGAUGUGGUUUGGUUUGCUGUUUUGUUUGUUAUGACGGGAAUAAUUUAGUCAAUUUGAGGUGAAUAGGAUUUGGUUUGUUGGUUGCUAUGCUCUCUGUUAUUGCAAGAGUGAUUAGAAUGGCGACUGAGGCUUGUUAUUUUUGUUUUGUUAGAUAUUCUUUUUUAUAUUCGCCUUGGGAUAUAUUAUGAAUUUACAGAUACAGUUGUAAUAGUAUGCUUAAUAGAUGCAUAAUUUGUUAACUAUUUUAUCAGUUCGUCCUAUAGGUGUUGACCCAAAAAUUUUUGUAUCUCCUUUGCUUUUUUGCUUUCAUAUAGAAGCUGCAGAAUUACGGUAGAAUUUGUCCUUAGAUUCUCAACCAAAGACCUUUGGAAAUUCCUGAGCCCACCAAGAAGGUAAUUUGAAAUCUUGUAUUGAAUUUUAUCAUUGAUCUCAAGGUCGGUUUGAGGUUAUACUUAGAAUGCUUGAUUUGAACUUUGAUUUCUGUCUCUUGGACAAACUUCUGUUUACCAAUAUGGCAGUGUGGAGUCGGACAUUUCUGCCAAUGGUCGGCUCCAGCCAUCUGAGCAGUCAGUGACACCAUUCCUGCCUGAUUUAAUAGACCCAUCGGUGUCAUAUUAUUAUAGAAGUAAGAUGAUGAGUUUAUGUUGUGAGAUCAAUGUUUGAAUUUUAAUUAACAUAUACUUUAAAUUGAUGGCUGUGUGGAACUGUUUCAGAAUCUUGAAACUUGAACAUUUGUAGCACUGGCAGUCUGCUUUGUUCUGCUGGGAUAAAAUAACUCCCACAAUGAACUGUUUCAGUACCCUAUGGUCUUAGGUGAGAGGCGAGAGGUGAGGGGAGGGCCUUUUUGAAGCAAGAGGCCAUAGCCUAAAUUGUCUAAAUUAUACAUAUGUAUGUAUAACACCUUACACAAAUGUAUUCAGAUUUCAAUAGUUGCCUAGUCUUUCUUACUCUUUUACAGCCAAACAACACCUUCCAUAAAUGUAUUCAAAUUUCAAUAGUUAUUAAUUUCCUCAAUAGCUAUUAGCCUACAAUGACACAUAAAAUACCUGUGUGAUACACCAUAAAUUUGCAAGGAGCACCUCAAUGUCAAUUUUAAUUUCUAAUCACUAGUAAAACUGCAUACGGAUAUUAAACAAUAGCCAUAUAACAAAAAAUUAAACAACAAAUUAACAAAAAAAAUAUCUAACAAAACAAUUAAAUUCAAAAUUAAACAAUACCCAUGUGACCAAAAAAAAAAAAAAGCAAUACCCAUAUAACAAUAAUAAAAUUAACAAUGACAUCCGUAUAACAAUAAAUUAACAAGAAACAUUUCAUAUCUAAAAAAACAAUUAAAAUAAAAAAUAAAAAUAAAUAAAACAAUAUGACCAGCAGAGUAAAAAAGAAGAGAGAAGAGUAGAGAUUCUGUUUUGAAGAAGAAGACCAGAGAAAAGAAGAAAACAAAGAAAAACAAAGGUUCUAUUUUGAACUACAGCAGAGUAUAAGAAGAGAGAAGGGAAUGAGACUUUGCUUUGUUGAAACUUGAAAGAAGAAAAACAUAGAAGAAGAGGAGAAG
rnacentral:misc_RNA from 1 species